rnacentral:rRNA from 1 species
GACGAACGCUGGCGGCGUGCCUAAUACAUGCAAGUUGAGCGAUGAAGCUUGGUGCUUGCACCAAUUUGAAGAGCAGCGAACGGGUGAGUAACGCGUGGGGAAUCUGCCUUUGAGCGGGGGACAACAUUUGGAAACGAAUGCUAAUACCGCAUAACACCUUUAAACAUAAGUUUUAAGUUUGAAAGAUGCAAUUGCAUCACUCAAAGAUGAUCCCGCGUUGUAUUAGCUAGUUGGUGAGGUAAAGGCUCACCAAGGCGAUGAUACAUAGCCGACCUGAGAGGGUGAGCGGGCAAAUUGGGACUGAGACACGGCCCAAACUCCUACGGGAGGCAGCAAUAGGGAAUCUUCGGCAAUGGACGAAAGUCUGACCGAGCAACGCCGCGGUAGGGAAGAAGGUUUUCGGAUCGUAAAACUCUUUUGGUAGGGAAGAACGUUGGUGAGAGUGGAAAGCUCAUAAAGUGACGGUAACUACCCAGAAAGGGACGGCUAACUACGUG